UACAGAGGUCUCAAGCGUUGUUCGGAAUCACUGGCGUAAAGGGGGCGUAGGCGGCGGGGAAAGUCCGAUGUGAAAUCCGGAGGCUCAACCUCCGAAUUGCAUCCGAUACUCCCUCGCUAGAGAUUUGUAGAGGAGCUUGGAAUUCUCGGUGUAGCAGUGAAAUGCGUAGAUAUCGAGAAGAACGCUCGCAGCGAAGGCGAAGCUCUGGGCAAAUUCUGACGCUGAUGCACGAAGGCUAGGGGAGCAAACGGG
rnacentral:rRNA from 1 species